AUACAAAAUAUCAAAAUAUAGAAGGGCCACUUCUUUCACUAUACGAUUGGACUCAUCAGAGUGCAGGACAAGUCAUGCACUCAAGGUUUGUGGAUCAACAUGAUCCUCAUAAACUUUAAGGGGUAGGUCAGCGAUCAAUUUCUCACUAUCUUCCUCAUUUAGGGGGACAUGGAAAGGGUGAGUUCUAUAUAUUCAUAAGAAAAAAAGUAUUUAAAUAAUAUCAUAAGAUUUUAAAAGUGAAUAAUU
rnacentral:lncRNA from 1 species